UGCCCACUGAUAAUAAUUAAAGGGCUGCAGUAUUUUGACUGUACAAAGGUAGCAUAAUCAUUAGUCAUUUAAUUGAUGACUUGUAUGAAAGAUUGGAUGAAAUAUAUACUGUCUCAUGGAUAAUUUAUAGAAAUUAAUUUUUUAAUUAAAAAGUUAAAAUAUUUUAAAAAGACGAGAAGACCCUAUAGAGUUUUAUUUUUUGACAUUUUAAUUAUAUUUGUAAAUAGAAAUAAUUUUUAAUUUUGUUAAAGAAUUUUAUUGGGGUGAUAAAAAAAUUAAUUUAACUUUUUUUUUGUAGUAAACAUGAAUAAGUGAUUAUUUGAUCCAAUUAUUAUUGAUUAUAAGAAAAAAUUACCUUAGGGAUAACAGCGUAAUUUUUUUUUUUAGUUCAUAUAAAAAAAAGAGUUUGCGACCUCGAUGUUGGAUUAAGAUAAAAUUUAAAUGCAGAAGUUUAAAAUUUUGA
rnacentral:rRNA from 1 species